GAAGGUAUAGCUUAAGUGGUAGAGUGCAUGCUUAGCAUGCAGGAGGUCCUGGGUUCAAUCCCCAGUACCUCCU
rnacentral:tRNA from 1 species